GGGGACGUUAUGGAUUCGACAGGGAUAGUCUGAGCUUGAGUUGCGCGUCGGAGGCUCGGCUCCGUAAAAACGGACCUUAUAAUAACAGGCAAAACAAACAACAACUUAGCAUUCGCAGCGUAAGCUCGGAUCUGCUCUAUUUAUCUAUCGCCCAUGUGGCUAGGUAGAGCUCAACUUUAGUGGGAUACGGUUGGCAGUGCCACUUGAGCUGUCAGCAAGAGAUUUCCAAGUUAGCGUACAGGACGCCCGCUUAUCGGCAUAAUGCUACGCGAAACUUUAAAUAGGUAAGAUACACGCGUAGAAGCUUAAGUGUUAGAGUUUCUGGACGCGGGUUCAAAUCCCGCCGUCUCCAUAU
rfam:Psychrobacillus sp. FJAT-21963 super17, whole genome shotgun sequence.